GACGAACGCUGGCGGCGUGCUUAACACAUGCCAGUCGAACGGAAAGGCCCGGCUUUUGUGGGGUGCUCGAGUGGCGAACGGGUGAGUAACACGUGAGUAACCUGCCCUUGACUUUGGGAUAACUUCAGGAAACUGGGGCUAAUACCGGAUAGGAGCUCCUGCUGCAUGGUGGGGGUUGGAAAGUUUCGGCGGUUGGGGCUGGACUCGCGGCGUAUCAGCUUGCUGGUGGGGUAGUGGCUUACCAAGGCUUUGACGGGUAGCCGGCCUGAGAGGGUGAACGGCCACAUUGGGCCUGCGGUAGGGCCCAGAAUCCUACGGGAGGCAGCAGUGGGGAAUAUUGCGCAAUGGGCGGAAGCGUGAUGCAGAGACGCCGCGUGCGGAAUGACGGCCUUCGGGUUGUAAACCGCUUUCGCCUGAGACGAAGCGUGAGUGACGGUAAUGGGUAAAGAAGCCCCGGCUAACUACGUG
rnacentral:rRNA from 1 species